GCUCCUGUAGUUCAGUGGAUAGAGCGCGACCUUGCGGAGGUCGGAGUCGCUGGUUCGAAUCCAGCCAGGAGUA
rnacentral:tRNA from 1 species